UACGGAGGAUGCGAGCGUUAUCCGGAUUUAUUGGGUUUAAAGGGAGCGUAGGCCGGCUUUUAAGUCAGCUGUGAAAGUCCGCGGCUCAACCGUGGAAUUGCAGUUGAAACUGGAGGCCUUGAGUGCACACAGGGGUGCCGGAAUUCAUGGUGUAGCGGUGAAAUGCUUAGAUAUCAUGAAGAACUCCGAUCGCGAAGGCAAGUGUCCGGGGUGCAACUGACGCUGAGGCACGAAAGCGUGGGUAUCGAACAGG
rnacentral:rRNA from 1 species